UCCCCUGCGGGAGCGGCGCGGGAGGACGGGCCCUGGGCGCCGCUUCGCACCCCUCCUACGGGCGGGCUGACCGUGUGGUGCGGGCUUAUUGCCUUGGCCUCGGGCAGGUGGCGGCCGCUCCUCGCGGCUGUAUCCAAGGCGGGCCGAGGGAGUCCCUCGGAGUCCGUGACGAGCCUGCCGGCGGGGAGCGACCCCUGGAAGACAACAUUCGUUCCCACGAUGGGAGCUGGAGUUUCCACGCGUGACCGGGGGGGGGUCCUCCGAGGCUGGAGAGAGACCCGCCGACUGGCGCCUCCCGAACUCCGCGGCUGCGGCGCCCCAAGGCGGUCCUCGGCCGUCCGCGCUGUCGCUGCCUCGGCUGGGAUUUCGGGAUGGGGACUCCGUGUUUUAUCAGCCCUGUCCUGCCUCCUAAGUGUAGGCUCCUUAUCUACACAGAUGCGUGCAAAGUCCUUCCGCCUUCAUGCAAAAUUUGCAAAAUGUUUUUGACAGCGUUUGGAAGUUACUAGAUGAGAAAGAAUAACAACCAGUUAUUCGAUUUGGAAUAACCAACAUAUGACAGACUUCCAAAAAAUAUGUGAUAAGUGACUGAAAUAAAUCAUGGUUCCCUCACUUUCUUCCACUCUAUCAUCAGGCGAGUUACUUAAUUUACCUCAUGUAUAAAGUGAGUAAAAUUCUAUUAGUAAAAAGUGAGAUCAUUUAGUAAUUUACAAUAAGCUAUAAUAUCAAACAGACCAGUCCAGUAAUCAAUAUUUAGCACAUGUGAUAGGCAGCCUUUCAUUGUGUCUUAUAAUGAUCCCUACUUCCUGAUUUAUGCUCUUGUGUAAUCUCCUUCCACUGGCUGUGGGGUGGAUUUAUGGAUGAGCUUCUAACACACAGAAUACAUCAGAAGUGAUGAGAUGUCUCUAACAAGAUGAGACUAUUAAAAAAGACCUGUGCCUUCACUCAUGGAUUCUUUCUCUCUCACCUUCUGGAUUGCUUCCUCUGGGGGAAGCCAGCUACCAUGUCAUCAGGCAGCCGUGUGAACGAGUUCAGAAGUGUAUCCUAGCCAAGUUGAGCCUUGAGAUGACUGUAGCCACAGCCAAAACCUCUAUUUCAGCCUCCUGACAGACCCUGAGCCAGAAUUGCCCAACUAAGCUGCUCCUACAUUCCUUACUUACAGAACUGUUCCUGUCUAUCCACCAUUAUCUGCAUCUUUUUGCUGCUUCUACUGCUAAAUAAUCAUCUCAAAGGAAGCUUUUUGUCCUGCCACUUUCUGCUUCAUUGUUCUCCGACCACAAAGACCAAGACCAAAGCAAUUUAUCACCAUCAUACCAUAGAUUGCUUUAAUAAACACUGGGUCAAUGGGCAUACUUGCUCACAGGUGAAAGAUUGUCAGACUCAACUGAUUGAUAAAUUGAAACAAUUGUUUUAAAAUGUCCCUCUGUAGGCUUCAGAGAAUGUAACUGGUUCAGAGGAAACAACUCAUGGUGGAAGAACAAGUCUCACAACCUAAAAUAAGAUUAUAAAGCUUUAGAGCUGUAGUCUGGUGUGCAUUUCAGAAAUUAUCCUAUCCAGCUCCUUAUGGAUCAAACAGCUGAAGCCUGAGAGGACAACAUGGUGACCAUGUGACCUUGGGCAAUUUAUCUAUUUUCCCUUUGCCUUAUUUUUCUUAUCUAUUACAUUGAUCUUUGCAGUAUCCACACCUCAGAGGGUUAUUGUAAGAAUAAAAGAGAUAAGGAAGUAAAGAA